UGCUAGUCAAACCCUGAUUAUGUGUAGCAGUUUACUAUAGUAGGCAAAAUAAAAUAAAUGUACGGCGAUUCUGCUUCUUUUUCGGCGAACACUUUCGUCCGGUAAUUAAUGAUAUGGAUAAUGUGCACGGUUACACUAGCAUUGUCUUGCGGAAACUGUUCGGAAUCCUGCCAUAUUCGGAUAUAGCGUGUUAUGUGAACGCAUAUUCCUUACGAUUAGUGUUGUCUGAGAUUAAUGCUGGCGAAACCGGCUAGUACUAUUAAACUACGUAAAAAAACUCGCAUACGGCUGUUGUACCAAGUGUUACCGGCAAAACCAUGACCGUAAAGUUAAAACACUGGAUCCACAACAAUAACGACAUCCUUGGGAAUUUUUGUUGACAAUGCAUUCUUUCUCUCUUUCUGCAGCUUUUCACGAGCGAUAUCAAUGGCUGUCCGGUAUUCCGCCCACGCCCACAGAUACGGCAUCCCCAGCCACCUGGUCAAGCGGAUUCGCGUCUCUGUAUCCAGUUUCGCCUCGAAUUCCAGAUCCACGCUCAUAUCAAAGUUUGCUGGUGGCGUAGUGGCACGUUGACAAUAAUUACACGCCAAAACUUGCGACAAUUCCACAAGAACGAUAAGAGGCAAAAACUGCAGGCAAGACAUCAGAAUAGUCGAUCCCGGUAACAACAAAAAGUAAGCAAACACCAUCCAGAAAAGUACACCAAGCAUCUGGAAUAAAGGAUUGUAGUGCUCACGAAUCAGAUCCCUUCCUACACACUGGAGAUAACCCUCUACCGCAGUUAUCAGCAAAUUGCUCGUCGCAAUCAGGAAAAGAAAUCCGUGAGGCAUAAUUAUGCCCGGCAGCUUCACACCCAGGCGCAAAAACCAUCUGGCUGCUCCAGUCUUAAAACA